rnacentral:rRNA from 1 species
UACGGAGGGUGCAAACGUUGCUCGGAAUCAUUGGGCGUAAAGCGCACGUAGGCGGCUAGAUAAGUCGGGUGUGAAAGCCCUGGGCUCAACCCAGGAAGUGCAUUCGAAACUGUCUAGCUUGAAUCUCGGAGGGGGUCAGAGAAUUCCCGGUGUAGAGGUGAAAUUCGUAGAUAUCGGGAGGAAUACCAGUGGCGAAGGCGCUGACCUGGACGAAGAUUGACGCUGAGGUGCGAAAGCGUGGGGGAGCAAACAGG